GCGCGCUGCGGACGGCUCCGGACCCUUCUCCCUGCCCUCCGGAGGCAGAGGUCAGGGGUUCGAAUCCCUUCGGGCGCGCCA
rnacentral:tRNA from 1 species